rnacentral:rRNA from 1 species
UACGUAGGGAGCAAGCGUUGUCCGGAAUCAUUGGGCGUAAAGCGCGCGUAGGUGGCCCGGUAAGUCCGCUCUGAAAGUCACAGGCUCAACCUGUGAAAGCGGGUGGAUACUGCCGGGCUAGAGUCCGGAAGAGGCGAGUGGAAUUCCUGGUGUAGCGGUGGAAUGCGCAGAUAUCAGGAGGAAUACCAACGGCGAAGGCAGCUCGCUGGGACGGUACUGACACUGAGGCGCGAAAGCGUGGGGAGCGAACAGG